rnacentral:rRNA from 1 species
GACGAACGAUGGCGGCGUGCUUAACACAUGCAAGUCGAACGGAAAGGCCCUGCUUUUGUGGGGUGCUCGAGUGGCGAACGGGUGAGUAACACGUGAGUAACCUGCCCUUGACUUUGGGAUAACUUCAGGAAACUGGGGCUAAUACCGGAUAGGAGCUCCUGCUGCAUGGUGGGGGUUGGAAAGUUUCGGCGGUUGGGGAUGGACUCGCGGCUUAUCAGCUUGUUGGUGGGGUAGUGGCUUACCAAGGCUUUGACGGGUAGCCGGCCUGAGAGGGUGACCGGCCACAUUGGGACUGAGAUACGGCCCAGACUCCUACGGGAGGCAGCAGUGGGGAAUAUUGCACAAUGGGCGGAAGCCUGAUGCAGCAACGCCGCGUGCGGGAUGACGGCCUUCGGGUUGUAAACCGCUUUCGCCUGUGACGAAGCGUGAGUGACGGUAAUGGGUAAAGAAGCACCGGCUAACUACGU